GAUAAACGCUGGCGGCGUGCUUAACACAUGCAAGUCGAACGAAGUUUUUCCUUCGGGAGCAACUUAGUGGCGGACGGGUGAGUAACGCGUGGGUAACCUGCCCUGUACAGGGGGACAACAGCUGGAAACGGCUGCUAAUACCGCAUAAGCACUUAGCACUGCAUGGUGCAUAGGGAAAAGGAGCAAUCCGGUACAGGAUGGACCCGCGUCUGAUUAGCCAGUUGGCAGGGUAACGGCCUACCAAAGCGACGAUCAGUAGCCGAUCUGAGAGGAUGUACGGCCACAUUGGGACUGAGACACGGCCCAGACUCCUACGGGAGGCAGCAGUGGGGAAUAUUGCACAAUGGAGGAAACUCUGAUGCAGCGACGCCGCGUGAGUGAAGAAGUAUUUCGGUAUGUAAAGCUCUAUCAGCAGGGAAGAAAAUGACGGUACCUUACUAAGAAGCACCGGCUAAAUACGUG
rnacentral:rRNA from 1 species